GAAUGGCAUGGUCUAGUAUAAGCAUUAUACCGUGAAACUGCGAAUGGCUCAUUAAAUCAGUUAUCGUUUAUUUGAUAGUACCUUACUACUUGGAUAACCCGUGGUAAUUCUAGAGCUAAUACAUGCUGAAAACCCCAACUUCGGGAGGGGUGUAUUUAUUAGAUAAAAAACCAACGCCCUUCGGGGCUUUUUGGUGAUUCAUGAUAACUUUACGGAUCGCAUGGCCUUGCGCCGGCGACGGUUCAUUCAAAUUUCUGCCCUAUCAACUUUCGAUGGUAAGGUAUUGGCUUACCAUGGUUUCAACGGGUAACGGGGAAUUAGGGUUCGAUUCCGGAGAGGGAGCCUGAGAAACGGCUACCACAUCCAAGGAAGGCAGCAGGCGCGCAAAUUACCCAAUCCCGACACGGGGAGGUAGUGACAAUAAAUACUGAUACAGGGCUCUUUUGGGUCUUGUAAUUGGAAUGAGUACAAUUUAAACCUCUUAACGAGGAACAAUUGGAGGGCAAGUCUGGUGCCAGCAGCCGCGGUAAUUCCAGCUCCAAUAGCGUAUAUUAAAGUUGUUGCAGUUAAAAAGCUCGUAGUUGAACCUUGGGUCUGGCUGGCAGGUCCGCCUCACCGCGUGUACUUGUCCGGCCGGGCCUUCCUUCUGGAGAACCUCAUGCCCUUCACUGGGCGUGUUGGGGACCAGGACUUUUACUUUGAAAAAAUUAGAGUGUUCAAAGCAGGCCUUUGCUCGAAUACGUUAGCAUGGAAUAAUAGAAUAGGACGUGCGGUCCUAUUUUGUUGGUUUCUAGGACCGCCGUAAUGAUUAAUAGGGACAGUCGGGGGCAUCAGUAUUCAAUUGUCAGAGGUGAAAUUCUUGGAUUUAUUGAAGACUAACUACUGCGAAAGCAUUUGCCAAGGAUGUUUUCAUUAAUCAGUGAACGAAAGUUAKGGGAUCGAAGACGAUCAGAUACCGUCGUAGUCUUAACCGUAAACUAUGCCGACUAGGGAUCGGGCGAUGUUCUUUUUCUGACUCGCUCGGCACCUUACGAGAAAUCAAAGUUUUUGGGUCUGGGGGAGUAGCCCCCCGC
rnacentral:rRNA from 1 species